GAUGAACGCUGGCGGCGUGCCUAAUACAUGCAAGUCGAGCGAACAGACGAGGAGCUUGCUCCUCUGACGUUAGCGGCGGACGGGUGAGUAACACGUGGAUAACCUACCUAUAAGACUGGGAUAACUUCGGGAAACCGGAGCUAAUACCGGAUAAUAUAUUGAACCGCAUGGUUCAAUAGUGAAAGACGGUUUUGCUGUCACUUAUAGAUGGAUCCGCGCCGCAUUAGCUAGUUGGUAAGGUAACGGCUUACCAAGGCAACGAUGCGUAGCCGACCUGAGAGGGUGAUCGGCCACACUGGAACUGAGACACGGUCCAGACUCCUACGGGAGGCAGCAGUAGGGAAUCUUCCGCAAUGGGCGAAAGCUUGACGGAGCAACGCCGCGUGAGUGAUGAAGGUCUUCGGAUCGUAAAACUCUGUUAUUAGGGAAGAACAAAUGUGUAAGUAACUAUGCACGUCUUGACGGUACCUAAUCAGAAAGCCACGGCUUACUACGUG
rnacentral:rRNA from 1 species